AGAGACAAAAGAAACACGUUCUAC
rnacentral:miRNA from 1 species